AAAGGUUUAAAUUAAAACCACUGGAUUUGGAGAGAAGCAGCAGCUUUUACUGUUUAACAGCGCAAUAGGACAUGACAACUGUGAUUGCACCCAAGUAAAAAUGAUUUCCAAUCAUAGUGGAGUUAGAAAAUGGAUGCUGAACAGGAGGGGGAGAAAGAAAGAAAAAAAAACAAGCAAGGAGCUGCCCAUGUGGAAUGUCAGUUUCCUCCCCCAGGAGAAUAUUUCUACUGAAUGGCUGUUCUGGAGCUGCCUACGGGACUACACGUUUACAGGAAAUGUACAGAAGACAUUGCCAAAGCAGAAAUCAUCACAAACUGUGGCUACCAAGCAACAAUGAAUGAAACCCAUCUCUAAAUCACACCAGGGCUGCUCUUUCUUUCAACUGGACAGCCAAAGUGACUGAUAUCUUGUCUGUUGUGCCAAAAGGAGAAUACAUUAAUCCUGGAAUCUGA